CCUACGGGGGGCAGCAGUGAGGAAUAUUGGUCAAUGGACGAGAGUCUGAACCAGCCAAGUAGCGCGAAGGAUGACUGCCCUAUGGGUUGUAAACUUCUUUUAUAUGGGAAUAAAAUGUUCCACGUGUGGGAUUUUGUAUGUACCAUAUGAAUAAGGAUCGGCUAACUCCGUGCCAGCAGCCGCGGUAAUACGGAGGAUCCGAGCGUUAUCCGGAUUUAUUGGGUUUAAAGGGAGCGUAGGUGGAUUGUUAAGUCAGUUGUGAAAGUUUGCGGCUCAACCGUAAAAUUGCAGUUGAAACUGGCAGUCUUGAGUACAGUAGAGGUGGGCGGAAGUCGUGGUGUAGCGGUGAAAUGCUUAGAUAGCACGAAGAACUCCGAUUGCGAAGGCAGUUCACUGGACUGCAACUGACACUGAGGCUCGAAAGUGUGGGUAUCAAACAGGAUUAGAUACCCUAGUAGUC
rnacentral:rRNA from 1 species